UGUGCCUACGGGGGGCAGCAGUGAGGAAUAUUGGUCAAUGGCCGGGAGGCUGAACCAGCCAAGUCGCGUGAGGGAAGACGGCCCUACGGGUUGUAAACCUCUUUUGUCAGGGAGCAAGGUGCAGGUCGGGACCUGCUGUGAGAGUACCUGAAGAAAAAGCAUCGGCUAACUCCGUGCCAGCAGCCGCGGUAAUACGGAGGAUGCGAGCGUUAUCCGGAUUUACUGGGUGUAAAGGGCGUGUAGGCGGGAAAGCAAGUCAGAUGUGAAAACCAUGGGCUCAACCUGUGGCCUGCAUUUGAAACUGU
rnacentral:rRNA from 1 species